rnacentral:rRNA from 1 species
GUAGGUGAACCUGCGGAAGGAUCAUUAUUGAAUAAAUGUAGAGUUGGUUGUAGCUGGCCUCUUUUUGGGGCAUGUGCACACCUCCUCUUUCAUCCACAUACCCCUGUGCACUUGUGAGACAGAAGAAGAAUUUCUCCCCCAUUCUUUUGGGGGUUUGACUUAUUCUUCUGUCUACUCAACUACAUAAACUCAUUUGCUUAAAAUUGAAUGUAAUUGAUGUAACGCAUCUAAUACUAAGUUUCAACAACGGAUCUCUUGGCUCUCGCAUCGAUGAAGAACGCAGCGAAAUGCGAUAAGUAAUGUGAAUUGCAGAAUUCAGUGAAUCAUCGAAUCUUUGAACGCACCUUGCGCUCCUUGGUAUUCCUUGGAGCAUGCCUGUUUGAGUAUCAUGAAAUUCUCAAAGUAAAUCUUUUGUUAAUUCAUUUGGUUUGCUUUGGUCUUGGAGGUUCUAUUGCAGGGGGUUUCACUCCUUGCUCCUCUUUGUGUAUUAGCUGGAUCUCAGUGUUAUGCUUGGUUUCACUCGGCGUGAUAAGUUAUCACUCGUUGAGUACACUGUAACAGGUGGCCAAGGUAAACAUAGAUGAACCGCUUCUCAAUGGUCCAUUGACUUGGACAAUUAUUUUUAUGAUCUGAUCUCAAAUCA